CGGACGGGUGAGUAACGCGUGGAAAACCUGCCGUAUACUGGGGGAUAACACUUAGAAAUAGGUGCUAAUACCGCAUAAGCGCACAGCUUCGCAUGAAGCGGUGUGAAAAACUCUGGUGGUAUACGAUGGUUCCGCGUCUGAUUAGCUAGUUGGUGGGGUAAUGGCCUACCAAGGCAACGAUCAGUAGCCGGCCUGAGAGGGUGAACGCCACAUUGGGACUGAGACACGGCCCAAACUCCUACGGGAGGCAGCAG
rnacentral:rRNA from 1 species